rnacentral:rRNA from 1 species
UACGUAGGGGGCAAGCGUUGUCCGGAAUUAUUGGGCGUAAAGCGCGCGCAGGCGGUCAUUUAAGUCUGGUGUUUAAUCCCGGGGCUCAACCCCGGUUCGCAUUGGAAACUGGAUGACUUGAGUGUAAGAGAGGAAAGUGGAAUUCCACGUGUAGCGGUGAAAUGCGUAGAGAUGUGGAGGAACACCAGUGGCGAAGGCGACUUUCUGGCCUGUUCUUGACGCUGAGGCGCGAAAGCUAGGGGAGCAAACGGG